ensembl:lncRNA
AUAUAUAUAUAUAUAUAUAUAUAUAUAUAUAUAUAUAUAUAUAUAUAUAUAUAUACUAGUGAAUACUGGGCCAGUGCUCAAAUCAGAUGGCAUCAGCAGCUGCAAACUCAGAUCUAUCCUUGCCCUUCCUGAGGCCUGGCUUUGAUUACUGGGCCCCCCACCACGAGCCAACACAUGGCCAUGAGCGCAUACCAACUCAGUGCACAACCUCUGAGCAACCACUUGGAAACAAUCAAGAGAAAACAUAUGACCAAGCAGAGCUUUCCAACAACAUUUGGAAAUGGUCUAAGACACAAGGUAAAACCUCUCCUUUGACUGUCUAUAAACAAAGAUUAGAUUGCAAAAGCACAACACUUAGAGAACAGCAUAUGAUAGACAUACAUUUACAGUCAUGUUAAAAUCCUCAUUAAGUGAGCAGGUAUACCUAAUAUGAAAAUGAAGCAUGACAGUAAAUGUGGCAGGAAACAGAUAAGUUCUUGGCCUGCGGUCAUUCAUUUUCAUUUUUAAAUCACCUCUGACUAAAACAUGUGGUGGCUCCCAUCCCAUUGCGACAUCUUACAUCUGGUGGGCUAAGCAGGAUAAGCCAAGUCAAGCCCACGGCGGUCUUCCAUGAACCUAUUGUUUGUGACCGUCCCAUCUGCUCAGAUUCACCAGUAUCAAGCGCGGGAGCAGAAGAGUGGGCAUCCGCAGGGACCCCCGCUGUAAACAUCACAGAAGGGAUGCUUCAUUUGAGGCACUGACUCAAUACCCCUCUUCAACCAAAAAUGAAUUGCGCCUCAGAAAAUGGAGAUUUAAUUUUCUCAUGAUAAGAAAAAAAAUGUGCUUGCCAACUGGCUUCUUCUUUCUUCCAUCUUUUGAGUAACCAGUAUUUAAAGUAAUAUUUACAGUCAGUUGCUUGUUGUAUGAUGGGAAUCUCCAUACAUACUGCAGAUCCAAUUGUUUUUAAGUUCCUAAAACAUUUUCAGAUUCAAUAAACUUAUUUAAAUAGAUCUGUUUUGUUUCCCAAUAGUAUUUACCUUAAAAAAAUUUAAAUAAAUAAAAAAAAACAUGGAAAAUAAGUGAAUACAGUAUUCAUUUGCAUAGAUUUCAUGGCAUCUGAUCUUCAUGACCAGUGACACUGAUGACUGUAACACAACAACUAUAGCCUAUAAACCACACAAUAGACAUUCCAGUUUCUCAGCUGCAUGUCACCAGGCCUCGGCGUAACCAUUUCACUGGCUGUGACAGACUAAUAUGCGGCUCAAGCCUUCAAUAAAAAGGCGAUGACAGCCAUGGUAGGUGAAUGAAGAUUUGAAGAAAAGGGAGUGAGUUCAGCAGGUGUUCCUUUAGCUAUGAAUCAAUUUGAGACUCUAGUUACUAUUUCUGAUUCUAGCAAACUGUAUAUUCAUUAAUAAUCAAAUGUGAAAGGACAAAAUAUUUACUAUGACUAUUCUGUUUAGUGCACUGUCAAUUUUUUUUUUUUCUUUAAGUUUCUGGAGUAGGUUUUGAAGAAGAUACUAUUUCAUUCUUUCUCCCUUGUAUGUGUUGUUUGUCUCUUUUUGUAUUAUUAUUUGUGAAAUUUACUAGCAAUUUCUUAGUGAAAACUGUUUCAAAGUAAAUCCAUUUUUUUAAUUAUUA